rnacentral:hammerhead_ribozyme from 1 species
AUCCAGCUGACGAGUCCUAAAUAAGACGAAACGUGAGUCCUGGAU